rnacentral:rRNA from 1 species
AGAAUCAACGCUGGCGGCGUGCCUAACACAUGCAAGUCGAACGAGAAAGUGGAGCAAUCCAUGAGUACAGUGGCGACCGGGUGAGUAACACGUGACUACCUACCCUUGAGUGGGGAUAACCUCGGGAAACCGAGGCUAAUACCGCAUAAUAUCGAGAGAUCAAAGGAGCAAUUCGCUUUUGGAGGGGUCGCGGCUGAUUAGCUAGUUGGCGGGGUAAUGGCCCACCAAGGCGAAGAUCGGUA